CCUACGGGUGGCAGCAGUGAGGAAUAUUGGUCAAUGGACGAGAGUCUGAACCAGCCAAGUAGCGUGAAGGAUGACUGCCCUAUGGGUUGUAAACUUCUUUUAUAUGGGAAUAAAAUGUUCCAUGUGUGGGAUUUUGUAUGUACCAUAUGAAUAAGGAUCGGCUAACUCCGUGCCAGCAGCCGCGGUAAUACGGAGGAUCCGAGCGUUAUCCGGAUUUAUUGGGUUUAAAGGGAGCGUAGGUGGAUUGUUAAGUCAGUUGUGAAAGUUUGCGGCUCAACCGUAAAAUUGCAGUUGAAACUGGCAGUCUUGAGUACAGUAGAGGUGUGCGGAAUUCGUGGUGUAGCGGUGAAAUGCUUAGAUAUCACGAAGAACUCCGAUUGCGAAGGCAGUUCACUGGACUGCAACUGACACUGAGGCUCGAAAGUGUGGGUAUCAAACAGGAUUAGAUACCCUAGUAGUC
rnacentral:rRNA from 1 species